CUCUUUAAAUUUACAAAAAGUACAGAUUUCAAUAGAGAUUUGCAUUUUUGCAAAUUAAACCUGGUUACACCCCCUUACUGUCAGAUAACCUAUUCUGUUACUUCCUAUCUUGUUUAGGUCAGCAAGAGGCAGCAAUUGCCUAAACUAGAACACAUGCCUUGCAAAGACUUCUCAUUAAACUGCAUUGGACAGCCACAGAAUGUCUGGGCUGGGGAAAAAGAAG